UGAACCUGAAGGAGGUGCAGUUAGGAAACGUUUGGGCCUUAGGCCCAAACAGAGCCAGACCUCAAACAAGCAAUCGAUUCAAAAGCUGAGUUCGGGUCCAAUACACAACCAAAUCCACGCACCAGAGCUUCAUCAGCAUUGUUUCACUUUUUCGCUUCAUCUUCAUCGCGCGUUCUCUACUUCAAACAAAAUUAGAAACGAAAAAAAUGAAGAAAAUUGGCUCUGAAAUCACGAUCAACACUAAAAUCGUAUCAAUCAUUCAUCAUUCACCUUUGCGCAUGCAGAAUCGAAAAGGAUCGAAUUGAAGCAAGAAAUCAUCGAAUCAGAGUAUCGACAUGAACAGGUGGGAUUCUUGUUGAAUUUUUGUUUGAAGAAGGUCAUGUUACCAGCCCUUUGUGAGAAGGUUUCGUUGCCAAUUGUCCAAUUCGAUUUGCAGAUGAUUGCUCUCUUUUAAGUUCCCUCAAUUUCUGUUAUACUGUUUGAGGCUUGUUAUUGAGAAAUCUUGUUAAAUCUGGUUUUUCCUCUGUUACAGGUUUUAUGGUUUUGUGGUUAGCAGUCGUUGUUGAAAACGGUUGGAGGUUUUGUUAUCAAGUUUAUUGAGAAUUGGUUAUAGGUUGGUUUGAGGGAGGUUGGAAGUUAGUUGCAAAUGAUUUGAGCAUUAGGACUAAGCAACUAUUAAAAAUGAUUUAGCAAUAGGGCUGCACUUAAUCGUUACUGAAAAGCUUCGAAUUAGUAGCAUAAUUGCAAGUUGUUUUGUUUUGUUUUAGCUUGAAAUUGAUGUUGCUGUUAUGGAUUUAAUAUACCCCUUAUUGUGAACUGUUAUGAUGCACAUGUUUUGAACUUACUGCUGCAACUAUGCUUGCUAUGCGGUUGCCUAACUCAUGGAAGUGACAAUUUGAUGUGAUGUUAUAUGUAUAUGAACAUGAGCUUGUAUGUUGCUAUGACAUGAUAUAGGAACAUGGAUGUAUUUACAUUUAUGUAAACUAAUAUACAUGGAUGUAUGUGCUGCUGAUUUUUGAAUGUUAUGCAGGUAUUAUCUGAAUGCCAUGGGACUAUUUGUCAUAUUAUAAUUUUUAACCCUAAGAUCCCACAUCUCAUUUGCAUGUUUUGCGUAAAAAUAAAGUCAUAUCUUGGCUCUUCCCUUAUCCAUAUUUAGAUUUGUAUUUUGCAGAGAUCAUCAAGCACCUCUUUGUUUUACCUUUGUGUUUAUAUGUUCAUUGCUUAUAUAACCACUAAUCAAAAUAUCAAAAAUAUGUCUUGUUUCCCUUAAGUUUAUUGUGCAAGGUAGGGCUCCUCAAAUCAAGAGCAUCUCAAAGUUUAGUUGCUUAGUUCUCAAGGAAAGUCAAAAGUUCAUGUGUUUAUUUUCAAGCCUUUUUCAAUAAGCAAAUUCAAGCUUUGAGCAAUUUAAUCAAGAGACAAUCAAGGACACCUUAUCUUGAGUUCAUAUCAUCACCCAUGUGCUUUGAAGUGCAAGGAAAUUCCAAGUACACAAGCUUGUUCCAAGUGGUUUGACCUAAAAAUCAACAUUUUGAUGUCAAAGUUCCAAAGAUCACAACUCAUUCAAUUCUCAAUAUUUUUGAAUUC